UACGUAGGGGGCAAGCGUUGUCCGGAAUCAUUGGGCGUAAAGCGCGUGUAGGCGGCUUGAUAAGUCUGAUGUUAAAGACUGGGGCUCAACCCCGGGAGUGCAUUGGAUACUGGCGGACUGGAGUGUGGUAGAGGCUAGUGGAAUUCCCAGUGUAGCGGUGAAAUGCGUAGAUAUUGGGAAGAACACCAGUGGCGUAGGCGACUAGCUGGGCCAUAACUGACGCUGAGGAACGAAAGCCAGGGGAGCGAAUGGG
rnacentral:rRNA from 1 species